rnacentral:tRNA from 1 species
GAGGGUAUAGCUCAGUGGUAGAGCACAUGAUUAACAAUGCAGGAGGUCAUGGGUUCAAUCCCCAGCGCCUCCA